rnacentral:misc_RNA from 1 species
GAUGAAGAGCGCAGCGAAAUGCGAUAAGUAAUGCGAAUUGCAGAAUUCAGUGAGUCAUCGAAUCUUUGAACGCACAUUGCGCCCUGUGGUAUUCCGCAGGGCAUGCCUGUUCGAGCGUCAUUUCAACCCUCAAGCUCUGCUUGGUGUUGGGCCCUGCCCGCUGCGGCCGGCCCUAAAGACAGUGGCGGUGCCGCCUGGCCCUGAGCGUAGUACAUCUCUCGCUCCAGUGCCCGGUGGUAGCCUGCCAGAACCCCAACUCUCGUGGUUGACCUCGGAUCAGGUAGGGAUACCCGCUGAACUUAAGCAUAUCAAUAAGCGGAGGA